rnacentral:rRNA from 1 species
UCUUGAGAGUAAAUUGACCAGAGUACUAUGAAUGAAUAAAAAUUUAAAACUCAAAGGACUUGGCGGUGUCUUAGACCAUUUAGGGGAACCUGUCUCGUAAUCGACAGUCCACGUUACACCUGACCUUUCUUUGUAAAGCAGUUUGUAUACCGUUGUCGUCAGGUAACUUUUUAGAAAAAUGAAGUUAGCAAUAUAAAUAUUAUUUGGGACGUCAAAUCAAGGUGCAGCUAAUGGAAAGGAGAGGAUGGGUUACAAUUAUUAUUUAUAAUUUUACGGAAGGAGGACUUAAAAGUAAAUUGAAUAAAAACAAUUUGAAUGAGGCUCUGAGACGUGU